GCAUUUCCUUCCCUCUUCCGCGGCUCUGCCUUCGUGCAAACGACCCUGACCCGGGGACAGCCCGGGUACUGCUCUUUAACCCCCUGCUGCUCAGAUUCUUCACGCAGCCUAAAGAGGCGGCCAAGCCUGUAAGUCUCACUUUGCAGAUGUAGAAGCAGAGGCUCAGCAGGGCAGAUCUCCUCCCGAAGUCCCGGGACCAUCAGGUAAAAGAGAUGGUUCAUUUUGACCGAGGCCCGUCUGGUGGUUCGUUGCUGUGAUGUAUUUCGGCAUCAUCGACGCAGGUUCACCAGCCUCAUCUCGACCUUGGAAAUGUUGCGGUAUUUUACAGUGUGUGGUGACAUUUAUGGGCCCAUUUGGACACCCACAAAGAGGUUGAUUUCCAUAGAUUAAAUGUCAAGUUUGAAGCCAUCCAGGGUAAUUGAAUCCUUGAAUGUUGUCCACUUCGAUUCUCAGCUGGGGCCGUUGACUGGACAUUUGUGCUCUGUUACAAACUCUUGAGUGCAGCCCAAAUUGCUUAAUGCCAAAAGGUCACUCUGUGAGUCCAGGGGGAGGGUGUCGGUAGGGAGGACCAUGGCACUGGAGUUUGAUACCUGCAGAAAUGUUGCCUUGUUUUUAUUUCUUUAAAUGAAAGCACAUAUGUGGUUAGUUGGUGAAUACAUUACCGGGGACAGAAGAAAAAAAACCCCACCAACUAAGACUUCCUAGAUGUCAGUUAGUUUAAAAUAUCUAACCAUCUAUGUUUUGUCAAGAGCAAAAGGCUAAAAAGAACUUCACUGUAAUGUUUUAAGUAGGAAUAGUUUUAAACGGCAUUAAACACAUAUACAUAAACUUGGCAUGAGCGUCAUUUAAAUUGAAGGGUAGCAAAAAAGCAUCAAAUAAUUUCUGAGAUAUUGAAACGUAUUCACCUGCUGAUUGUCCAGAGAACAUGUGUGUCUUCAGACUUUGGAUCUGAGUGUCUUGAAUUUUUGUCCUCACAAGGAACUGGAGUUAAAUGGAUCCAAUACGGGUACACCCACACCCAUUUCCUCCACUGGUACGCUGUGGCCAGGAGGCGCGGGCCAGCCUCAGAGGCCUUCCUCACUGGGAUUUCUGGCUUUCUGCAGGUUCAGCUGUCCACACGGUGGCAUGGCUUUCUCAGCUCCA
rnacentral:lncRNA from 10 species